UUUUCGUUGUUCGUUUUGUUCUUAUUCGCUGACAUUUGUUUUCCAAUUGCGUGAAAUUUGGUCAUUUCCUUAGUGUUUCGCUGACCGACCUGUGCUGGUAUUGUGAUUAAGAGCUAAUACACAUUUUUCGGACGAUUCUGCUGUGCUGCGUUCCUGCUCCGCCUGUAUAUUGCUCCGCCCGUAUUUUAUAGUGUUGCGUUCCUGUUGCGCCUUUGCAUUAGUGUGUGCGUUGUGAUUUAGACACGUUGAAAUUUUUUGUAUGCUUCUGCUGUGCUGCGUUCCUGCUCCACCCGUGUAUUAGAUUGCUGCGUUCCUGUUAACAUACAUAUCGUCGCUUAAAGUACAAAACCGCGUAACUGACAUUUGCUGCUAAAAAUUGGAUUCGCUCACACACGUUUUUGGAUCAAUCCUUAUCCAUUCUUCCUGAAAUAUACUAGCCAAAAAUGCGAUUGCUUUUUACAAAAAGAUAACCAUUUUGAAAUAUGAGUGUUUUUACUCUCUAGAAAUUAAUUUAUGCAACCUCGCAUACGUGGGUUUGCAUUAUCUCUAUACGAGGUUUUGCAAUUUAUUGAUGCAUGGUUUUGUACUUUAAACGACGAUAUGUAUGUAGAUGUAUGUACAUGUAUAUCACAUAUAUUGACUUAGAUAUGU
rnacentral:lncRNA from 1 species